AAACCUCUUUACAAAUAGCAUACUUGGAUAGUGACACUUUUUCUUGUAUUUGGCGAGAAUGCCAGUGAUGGUUUGAAUUUUAACUCCUUGCUUUCUAAUAGCAGGGUCCUCACCUAGCUCUAGCAGCAGUAAUUCUGUCAACCCCAUAGCCUCACUUGGAGCCCUGCAGACAUUAGCUGGAGCAACGGCUGGCCUCAAUGUUGGCUCUUUGGCAGGAAUGGCUGCUUUAAAUGGUGGCCUGGGCAGCAGUGGCCUUUCCAAUGGCACCGGGAGCACCAUGGAGGCCCUCACUCAGGCCUACUCGGGUAUCCAGCAAUAUGCUGCUGCUGCGCUCCCCACUCUGUACAACCAGAAUCUUCUGACACAGCAGAGUAUUGGUGCUGCUGGAAGCCAGAAGGAAGGUCCAGAGGGAGCCAACCUGUUCAUCUACCACCUGCCCCAGGAGUUUGGUGAUCAGGACCUGCUGCAGAUGUUUAUGCCCUUUGGGAAUGUCGUGUCUGCCAAGGUUUUCAUAGACAAGCAGACAAACCUGAGCAAGUGUUUUGGUUUUGUAAGUUACGACAAUCCUGUUU
rnacentral:sRNA from 1 species